UUAGUGUUACUGAGUGGCAGAGCUGGUCCUGGAAUCCAUUUACUCAUUCACUCUGCUAGUGCCUUUAUGGGACAGACACCAAGAGCACAAUUAUUCCCAAACUGAAGUGAGGAAGAGAAUGGAUACCAUGGUGCUGUUCAGAGGAAGUGAGACCCUUGGGAGUUCCCAUUACUGACUUGUGUGUUUUAGCGAGCCUUUCCUUGCCCACGCCACAUCAAUUAAAUCUAAGCUGAGAAAGGUGAAGGAGUCCCGUGGGAAGACAGUGUGUGUGAGAGCUGGCUCUGAAGUUCUUGAGUUGGGACAAGAAAGAAAUGUACAGCAGAUCUAAGGUAAAU